rnacentral:rRNA from 1 species
CAGCAGCCACGGUAAUACCAGCAGCCCAAGUGGUGGUCGCGAUUAUUGGGCCUAAAGCGCUCGUAGCCGGGCCGGUAAGUCCCUUGUGAAAUCGGACGGCCUAACCGUUCGGCGUGCAAGGGAUACUGUCGGUCUUGAGGCCGGGAGACGUCCGAGGUACUCCGGGGGUAGCGGUGAAAUGUUCUGAUCCUCGGGGGACCACCGGUGGCGAAGGCGUUCGACGAGAACGGGCCUGACGGUGAGGGGCGAAGGCUAGGGGAGCAAACGGGAUUAGAUACCCCCGUAGUCCCUGUCUCUUAUA